rnacentral:lncRNA from 1 species
AUUUUCUUUUGUAACGUUUUGAACUUUACAAGAGAAUGAUUUGUAACAAAGAAAAAAAUUGUAGUGUCUCAAACUUAAUGUAAAUCAUCGCUGAAAAACAGACCUUGUAAUUGCAGCUUUUGCUUAUUCAACAUAAGGUUUUUGUGUUGACAUUUGAUAAAGAGAAGAAUUCUAUGGUAUACUUUGGCAUGUUGAGACUAAUUAUGUCUCAUUCACUUUUACCUCUAGAAUCUCCAUCAUAGUUGCUACCAAAUAUCAAAGACAAAGAGCAAAGAAACAAAAAAGUUAAUUUUAGGCCUUUUUAACAAAAAUAAACUAGUUUAUUGUAAUUAAUCAUUUGAUAAAACCACAAAAGUAAACUAGUUUAUUGUAAUUUAUGGUUUUGAAUUGCAUUUGACUAAUUUUUGUUGGCUAUCUUUAAUUAAAGAUUUAAACUCGUCUUUUUCUUUUUUCUUUAUUGCACGUUCUAUUCUUUUGUCAUAUUUAUUUUUUAAUUACUUAUAUUUCUUUUUCAUUUUAUAUUUAAACAAUAGUAGAUUUUUUUUUCACACUAUUUCAAAAAAAGUUUAUAUGAUUACAUCAAUAUAUUUGCCAUCAAGAUAUAAUUUAUCUUUUCUUAUUAUACUAAAACGAUAUGUAGGCAUAUAUUUUUUUAAUAAGGAUAAUAGAUUUAUAUUAUAUAAUAGAAAUAUAAUUAUUGUUACUUUAUAUGUUACAUAAAUAAUUGAAAACAUUUAUUUGUUUACGUCAAUAAGAAUAAUUUGUUUAAUAAUAUAAUACAAAAUAUUAAUAUUCUUUUUUGAAACGGUAAAAUGCACAAGCAUAUUAAUAUAGAUUUAUUUUAAAUACAACAAUAAUAACUUUAGAAUAUAAUAUUAAUAUAGAGGGAUAUAAUUAGUAUAUUUUUUAAAAGCCAUAUAUUUUUUAAAUUGAAACAUAUAAAAAUAUUUUUUUUAAUUAAAUUUAAAUAUUUAUAAAAAUUCUAAUAGUCAGGCCAUAUCAUACGUUAAAAAACAUGAUUAAGAUUUUAUUGAUGUCACAUUUAUUAUAUAACAGUUUUAAGAAAAGUAUAAUUUUUUUUCUAUUUGAUUUGAUAUAUAACUAGGUGUAAGACUCAUGUAUUACAUGAGUUUAUUUUAAAGAAAAAAAUAUAAAAUUCUAAACAUUUAAGAAGUUGGAAUUUAUUAGAAAAAAAAAAUAGAAAAAAUAUUGAAUUAUUAAAAUUAAAUUGUUUGUUUUUUUUUAAUUAAACAAAUAAUUUAGAUAAAUAAACAAAGCAAACUAAUGAAACUUUAAUUUUGAAAUCUUGAAAUUAGAAAGAAGUCAAUUAAUGAAAUUCAUAUAUAUUUAUUAUUACAUUUUUUGUAAUCAUUAAAUUUAAAUAUUAUGUGGAAAUUAAUAAAAUAAAAAAAACGAACAAAAUGAUAUGUGGAAAAAAAAAUUAAUUGAAAAUAACCACAAAAUGACAUGCGGCCAACUCAAUUAGAAUGUAACAUGUGGCAAAAAGUUUUAAAUUAUUAGGGAAGAUUUUAAUAUAUAAUGAUCAAUGUUAUAGGUAAUGCAUGAUAAAAUGGACUUUAUAAAAUAGAUUCUAUUUUCAAAAUUUCAUUUUAUUAGUUUUAUCAUAUAAUAUUUUUUACAAAAAUACAAUUAGAUCAUUUUAAAUAUUAUUUAUUUACAUUAUAUUUAUUAAUUAAAAGUAAAGUAAUAAUGAUUACUUAAUUACUAUUAUAAUAAUGACAUUUGAUUAAAACAUGUUUGUUAAUCGCUAUUGGAAAAAAAGAUUAAAAAAAUUAGACAUUGAAUGGAACAUAGUAGAAUAGAUGUGUGUUUAUAAUAAAAUAUAGUUUUUAAGUUACUUUUGACUUUGCUAAAAAAAACAAGCUAGCUGUGACGCACAAAAUACAAAAAUAGUUUCUUAGACGGUGAAAAACUGACAAUUGUCAAUUAUUAAAUUUUAUGCAAAAAAAAUAAUAUCGUUCUAAAACAAAAGAAAAAUAGCAAACUUAAAGGCUUUGUGUGAUUUUCCCUUUAAAUAACUCCUUGAAAAUGCAAUNNNNNNNNNNNNNNNNNNNNNNNNNNNNNNNNNNNNNNNNNNNNNNNNNNNNNNNNNNNNNNNNNNNNNNNNNNNNNNNNNNNNNNNNNNNNNNNNNNNNUCUUUUCUUAUUAUACUAAAACGAUAUGUAGGCAUAUAUUUUUUUUUAAAAGGAUAAUAGAUUUAUAUUA